GAUGAACGCUAGCUACAGGCUUAACACAUGCAAGUCGAGGGGAAACGACAUCGAAAGCUUGCUUUUGAUGGGCGUCGACCGGCGCACGGGUGAGUAACGCGUAUCCAACCUGCCCACCACUUGGGGAUAACCUUGCGAAAGUAAGACUAAUACCCAAUGACGUCUCUAGAAGACAUCUGAAAGAGAUUAAAGAUUUAUCGGUGAUGGAUGGGGAUGCGUCUGAUUAGCUUGUUGGCGGGGUAACGGCCCACCAAGGCGACGAUCAGUAGGGGUUCUGAGAGGAAGGUACCCCACAUUGGAACUGAGACACGGACCAAACUCCUACGGGAGGCAGCAGUGAGGAAUAUUGGUCAAUGGACGAGAGUCUGAACCAGCCAAGUAGCGUGCAGGAUGACGGCCCUAUGGGUUGUAAACUGCUUUUAUAAUGGAAUAAAGUGAGUAUCGUGAGACUUUUUGCAUGUACCUUAUGAAUAAGGACCGGCUAAUUCCGUG
rnacentral:rRNA from 1 species